CAGUAGCCACGGGAAUACGUAGGCAGCGAGCGUUGUUCGGAAUUACUGGGCGUAAAGAGUGUGUAGGCGGUGCUCUAAGUUCGGUGUGAAAUCUCCUGGCUUAACUGGGAGGGUGCGCCGGAAACUGGAAUGCUCGAGCGUGGGAGAGGAAAGCGGAAUUCCUGGUGUAGCGGUGAAAUGCGUAGAUAUCAGGAGGAACACCUGUGGUGUAGACGGCUUUCUGGACCAUUGCUGACGCUGAGACACGAAAGCGUGGGUAGCAAACAGGAUUAGAUACCCCCGUAGUCCCUGUCUCUUAUAC
rnacentral:rRNA from 1 species